UCAGGAAAUUCCAGAGACCCAGAAAGUAGUUUUUAAAGCAAGCAUUCUUUAAAAGACAAAUUUAUUACCCAAGAAGAAGAAUCUUUAUGGAUUUCCUACCAGUAGAAAAGCUUUUCCUGUCCUUUCUGAGAGGACAUUUUUUCUUCUGCUGUAACAGGGUUGUGUACACACUUUCCCUGAUGGGAGGAUGUUCAUCAUGACACAGGGCAGAAGAAGAUUUUUACUGAUAUGAAAAAUACCCAACAGAAAAAUUGGGGCUCCACCAUUCCCUGUACCUCAGCCUCAAGCCACGUGAAACCCAGGAUUAUUUUCAGGGUGUUAAUGUAAAAAUAAAACAGUCCAAAAACACUAAACA
rnacentral:lncRNA from 1 species